rnacentral:rRNA from 1 species
GCCUAACACAUGCAAGUCGAGCGGCAGCGCGGGGGCAACCCUGGCGGCGAGCGGCGGACGGGUGAGGAAUGCGUCGGAAUCUGCCUCUUUGUGGGGGAUAACGUAGGGAAACUUACGCUAAUACCGCAUACGACCUACGGGUGAAAGUGGGGGACCUUCGGGCCUCACGCAGAGAGAUGAGCCGACGCCGGAUUAGCUAGUUGGCGGGGUAAAGGCCCACCAAGGCGACGAUCCGUAGCUGGUCUGAGAGGAUGAUCAGCCACACUGGAACUGAGACACGGUCAGACUCCUACGGGAGGCAGCAGUUGGGAAUAUUGGACAAUGGGCGCAAGCCUGAUCCAGCCAUGCCGCGUGUGUGAAGAAGGCCUUCGGGUUGUAAAGCACUUUUGUCCGGAAAGAAAUCCAAUCGAUUAAUACUCGGUUGGGAUGACGGUACCGGAAGAAUAAGCACCGGCUAACUUCGUGCCAGCAGCCGCGGUAAU